GGGGAAUUUGGGGGGGCAAAAAAAAAAAAGGAGAGACAAAAAAGAGAGAUGAGAGUGGCGGCUGAAUCUGGAGAAGAUUGAGAAAAACACAGCAAAGGAAAAGAAAAGAAGAGAGUAAAGAAAAAUAGCGGCUAAAAGGAGCUGGGGGCAAAAAACAAAGAUCAACGGACAGAGGUAGAAAUCAAGGGGUUUUAGAGCGAAUCUGAGGAGGUUGAGAGAGGAAACCAGCCAAAGAAAGGGAGAAACGGAGGAGACUGUCAGGGCAAAGGAAAAAAAAGAAAAAGGGAAAAAAGCUUCUGGGAAAGAGAUAGAAAUGGAGAGGAAAGUGAGAAAUCUGAAGCAGAGAGAGAGGGUCUCAUCUUGAGGGAAACAAAAAUCAAGGAACAAAAAAAGGCAGAGGGCUUCACAAGCAAAAGGGGUGGUGGACGAGAGGAAAAGAAGGAGAGUUGCGAAGAAACAGAGCAAGGAGAGCCCAUCGGAAGAACCAUUGGCACCAUCGCUCGCCGUUUCGUCGGCCACACUAAAGAUGUUCUCUCGGUAGCCUUCCCCAUCUCCAUCCACGAAUCUUUACCUUACAAAAGCACUGUAAGUUUCGUUUCUCUCCAAAAUUUUUCAGUUUUUGUCUAGCUUUUGAAAUGGAACUUCCGUGGCUUCAUCUAGUGUAAUUUUCCUGCUAAUUGGCCUCAAUUUUUGAAUAUGCAUGCUGUAUAUGAUGACUGGAAUUGAAUUUCUCUGUUUCUGAUAAUUUUUGGGGCUGAUUGUUACUUUGAUUGAGCACAGAUUUGCUGAUUUUUUUUACGCUCAUGUAUUGUUUGAUAAAAUGCCUAACCGAAAGUUCCACUUGAAAAUGAUUUUUGCUUGCGUUGUGCGUGUGAGGAAGAACGAACAGUCAGGAGGUUUCAUGCUUGUCAAAAUAGUUAAUUUCAUAAACAUAGGUUUGGGAAAUUUUCAGAGCACGUCUGCCAUGCGUUUUGUGCAGUGGAAGUUUCAUGUUGUUUGUUCAUAAUUUUAGAUUAUAUGUGCCUUAUGUGUUAAAUUGGACUGAAAGCUCUUGCUUUUUGAACAAUUUUGGGGCCGAUUAACUUCAAUUCGAGCAAAAAUCUGAUGAAAUUCUAAUGCCCUCAACCUGUUUGUUAAAAUGCCCGAACGAUGAUUGCUUGUAUGAGUUCGACGGAAAUGGAAACUGAUGCUUAUUCUCCUUGUCUUGUGGUUUAACCCCAGAAUUUUAGAACUUCAUAAUUUGACCCCAAAAUGUUCACAAUAAUGUCAAUUAGAUCCCUAUUUUUGUUGUGUUGAAAUCCCUUAAUCUUCCCCCUUGUUUUGAUAUGACUCGGAAAAUUGGAAAAAGUGAACUUGUUUCUUCCUUUUAGAUCUUAUUUAUCUUUUUAUAUGCAUAAGUAGUCUUUUAGCUUGAUUAUUUCUUGUUUUUUUAGAUCAUAAUUGUGGCUUAAUAAUUUUGUGGAUUUUAUCAUGUUGGGUUUAGGGAAAUUGGAUUUUUUGGGUAAGAGGUUUAUUUGGUUGGGUUUGGUAAUAGAUUUUGAUGUAUUUCUUCUGGACUGAUGAUUUGGGCUUGGAGGCUUAAAGCCCUUAACUUUGUAUGAGCUAGAUUAGUGAAAAUGAUGGGCUAGCCUGCUUGUUUUUCCUUGGACUUCCGAUUGGGCCAAGUGACUUUUGGCCCCAACAAACAAGAAAUGACCCAGUGGCCUGAUCCAUUAAGAAACUAAAAAAUGAAUUUGCAAAUAAGUCCUCAGACUUUUCCUUAAUUAUGCUACGGCCCUAAAAACUUUAGGCUUCUUUCAAUUGGGUCCUUAAUUUAAUUGCAAAUAGGCCUCUGAACUUUAUUUUUCUUUAAUUGUGACCCCGGAUCUUUGUAAUGAUUAUAAUUUGACCCCCAAAGUUUUGUUGAGUUUUGCAAUCAAGCCCUUCAUUCUUUUAAUUCCUUAAAUGUAGGUUGUUUACAUGAUUUAAUUGAUUUAAUUUCAUGAUUAUUUGUUAAUUAAAGUGGUGCCUUGACCCUUUCUUUGUUUUUGGAGGGUAAAUAAGAGAGUAAUUC
rnacentral:lncRNA from 1 species